AGUAUCCAAAGCAAAAUAGAUUUCGUCUUCGUCUCUGUAUUUUAUGUGUAUGCUUAUUCGAAGAAAAGAGAAUAUGAACAGAUAUUGAAAAUCAGAUAUCUAGAUGUAUAUUUGCUGAAUAACUUUCUCGUGUGCAGAAAACACUUUUUAAAUUAAAAAAGAAAAAAAAAAAUUAUAAGAUUAUAAGACAAAAAUUAUAAGGAAACAUAUGUAUGUAAUAUAUGGUGUAUUCCAUAUCCUAUCGAGAAUUAAAGUAUAUAAAGAAGAACUUCCACUUAUAGAUCAAGAGAGAGAGUGCUCUAUUAUAUAAACUAUAAAACCAGAUUGAUUAUCAUUUUUAUAUGUUCUUUUUCUUCUAAAAUUAAUUAUUAACUGAUUUGAAAUGCUACAUACAAAAAAUCAAAUUUGAAUUUAAAUGCAUUACUAAGAAUAUCUUUUUUGUAAAUUGUAAUAAAAAAUAUUGCUUAAAAUGGAAGAUUCAACAAAAUCUGAGGAUACUGAAUUUGGUAAUGCGAUUCCUGUGUGUUCUCAAGUAAAUCAAACUUACUCAGAUACAAAACUCUUGGUAGAUAAUAAAAAUACACAGAUUCGCAUUGUCCGAGGUAAUAAAAAGCUCAAAAUCGAUAAUAGUGAUACUAAUAAUAUUGAAAAAAAGGAUGUAAAAGAUGAGGAAGCAACAGAGGCUAAAGUAAGAUCCCUUAAACGUUCAUGCGAAUUGUGGUCUAUGGAAGAUAAAAAUACUUUUUUUAAAGCGCUUAAUGAAUAUGGUAAAGACUUUGAUGCCCUACAAAGCUAUUUUUUAAAUCAAGGCAAAAAGCGUGGCCUUUCAGACACUAUGAUAAAGAAUAAAGAGCAAAUUCGACAUUUUUAUUACAGAACAUGGCUAAAAAUAUCAAAGCAUCUUAAAUUCUCAGAAGAUGUUAAGAAAACUUCCCAAGAAUUAUAUGGAUUGAUAAAUUAUGGUGAAUUGAGAAGAAAAUUACCUCGUAUUCAUGAGAAGAUUCAUUUAAGACUAAAUGAAUUGAUAUAUUGGGGAUCCACUCAAGUCAGACUAAGAGGAAAAACUAUGAGAAUUAAAACACCAAUAUGUAGAGCACUUAGAAAAUUAAACCAAUUAGAAGAUUGGCAGGAAGAGAUUAAAUUACCAUCUAGAAUAACAAUAGAGCUGCGGCCGCGUAAUAACAUGGCUUGGUGGCAAGUACAAGCAGCAUCGAUGAAUCCAAGAGUGCGCACAUUGCUCCCAAUACAAAGACGUCUUUCAAGUUUAUUAAUAUUUUUGCAACAACGAUGGCGACUCGCGAAAUAUACUACAUGUUCCACUAUAGAAAAUCUCGUUGCUAAUGAUGUAAAAGAUAUUCGUUUAUUACGAAUUGCUCCACAAGAAGGAUGUAAAAUUGCUUUACCGAUGGUAAAUCUUGGAGAAUAUCUCACUAGUAAUAGUGUUAGCUUGAAUUCGUAUGAAAAACGUCUUGGUCUCAAGAGCUCGAGAGUGGAUUUGUUAGGAUCUGUUCAAUAUUUAAAAGGAGUGGGGAAAAAGGGAAUUAAACGAUAUAAAUCAGAUAAAAAGCUCUUAAACCGCACUGAUGAAAAUUGCACACUGCCAGAUAAUAGUAGCGAUAUGGACUUAUUAGAAACAGGAAGCAAUAUAUCUGAAAAACCAGCGAUUGUAAAUACUACAGAAAAACCAUCGACAGAAAAUCAUUCAGAAUCUAACAAAUUUCCUGGUAGAGAAACUAUCGAAAGAAUUCGGAAAGGUUGGAAUGUUGAAGAAGCAAAUACAAUCACCGUGGGUGAUCUCUUUUUAAUGUUUGGUCGUGAAUCAAAAGUUACUCUGGAAUAUUGGUGGGAUUGGCUACCUAAUGAACAAUAUGCUACUGAUUCUAGCAUUAUGCGUGACGAUAAUUUAUGUUCGGUUUUACAAAAGUUAUUGUCACUGGCAAAACAUAAUUAUGGUACAAACAAAGUAUAUGACAACACAACAGGAAGUAAUGAAACAGUGAUUUCAUCUCGAGUACCAUCUAUUAAGGAAUCUACAUUUAGAAGACCUCUUAUUCCGCAAACAUAUAAUAAGAUUGGCACGGCUGACGCAUUUAAAACGCAACUUGAUAAAUUUAAAACACGCUUUUGUAAACGAGGUAGAACAGUGAGACAAAAGAGUCUCGUUAUACAAAGGGUACUACCCAUUGUAUCCGCGCCAAAUAUACCGUCGGAAAGUUUAACAACAGAUGCAAGUAAAAUUGGUGGAUCUUCUUUAUGUCAAACUCAAACCGAUAAAAUAAUAGCGGUAAACGCGAACGAAGUUCAGGACAAAAGCUUUUUAGAUGCUCUAGAAACAAAUGCAGAUGCGAAGAAUUCCAAUUCAAUUAUUACUAGCGCUACUCAAAUUCUUAAGGAGGGCGAACAUCAAUGGUUAAAUAGUGAGGUUGCGGAUUUCUCAUUGAGCAGCUUUUUAGGACAACUUGAAUCACCUAUGAAAGGCUCGCAGAGAAGUCAAGCAGGUGAACAGAUAGAAGACACUCGUCCUUCCUCUGAUGUUGUAUCACAUAUGCAAUGCCUUAUGGGAGAGAAUAGUGUAGACUAUAUGGCAAAAUUUGCAAAUCUGGCUUCACAGAUAGCUUCUGAUGAAAAUAAGAAAUAGAGAAUUUAAAAAUAUUUUCUACAAGAAUAAAUAUUCCGUUCUUGUUUUUAGUAUGAUUCCAGUACUAAAGUAAGGAGAAUUGCCCAUUAUCCAAAGCAAGUCGACCUGCGUUGCUUUUGAAUCACGGGGUUGAAUCUCCGAGUAUUCAACUACUUUGCGGAGCGAAACAAUCAAGAGCAGUAUAAACUAGUAUGCAAACGUCCCUUCCCUCUGGAUCCCCCUUUCAGCAUGAAAGAGACGGUCUAGACAGCGCGAAUGCGAAAAAGACCCAUCUCUCCGACAUUCGCAAAUCGGAGUGCCCGACAGUUGCUUGCCCGACCGGCGUUACAUCUAGACGAGUGCCCAUACGAUCGAUGGAACGUGUGUACAAACGAGUAAGGUGAAUGUACAAACGGAGCAAGAUAGCUCGCCGCGCAUGGUCCGUAGGUAGGCAGGCAGGUAGAAUUCGUGUCAUCUCGGCCGUGAGGAUCAGAGCACAGUUCGAAUCGCAAACCAUGGAGCUCAAACCGUGAAAAUGGCCGUCUAACGACGAUGUCAAGGACCAAGGAUCCUCGCGCACGAUCGAUCUCGGGGAACAUUGCGUUCUUAUUCGCCGCGAGUGGACAUUGACACACGCAAACUUUCAGACUCAUGACUGUCAAAGUGGUUUAAAAGCAAUCAUUUAGGAUUGUCCUGCGAAUAUAUAUACAUGACAACUCUAUAAGUGUUACUCCCGAGAGAAAUAAAAAAAUAUAUAUUUGUUGUUUACAAUGUUUGUUAGAUAAUGACAAAGUUUACGUAUUGUGCGUGUUUUUGACAUUAUAUUAAAUUUUAAUAAGAGAAAUUCUCAAUUGAUAGUUAAAGUAAUAAGGAUAUGUAUGUAUUAUCCUUUUUUUUACAUAUUAUUUCAAGAAAAGAUUACUUUGUAUGAGAUCUAUUUGACAUCAACAAUAAUCACCUAUUGCUCCUGCUUAAUGUAAACAAAAUACCGGAUGACAGCGAGCAAUUUAAGAGCGAUUAUAUAGAGAUUUGAAAACUUUAAUUCAUCGAAAAUAUUUAUUGCCCCAAAUCAUAUCGAGAAAUUGAUAUUCUUGUGUUUGUCAAAGUGUAUUAAAGUCCAUUCGCUUUGGGAAGUGGAAGGCGCUUUAACGCGCCGACGAACGUAACGGAGAAUCCUGGCGCGGCGGAGGUCCGUUACUUCCGAGGAGGAGGAGAGCGAAGCAGCCUAUAAAAGACUUUUCAAAGUGAGAACAGUGAAAAUUAAUUUAACGUAAAUUGAACAAGUAUAUCUGUCGAGGAAACUCCCCUUAUAUGGAAAAGAGACGUCAGAAAAGUAGAAUAUCAAGAUCGAUGUAAGAAAGUGA